CUAAACGUCUUAAACAAGAGUGACUUUAAUUCCCAGUGAUCGCAUGGAGGCAGGUUGAUUAUGUCAGAGCGCCUCGAGCGCGGACCAUUUUUGAAAACGAUCUUAUUAAUCUGACAUCAUAAUAAGCGAUUAAUCAACUGGCAUUAACAAAGCUCUGACCAAUGACCAGCCCAGACACCUGCGCCCCGGACCCGAAGACCACGAUCAGCAACUGCUCCACCCGCAUAAACUGGCCUCAACUCGACUCAGCCCGAUCUUCGGGCAGUCAGGAGCUCAAACAAAUUGAAUUCUCAUUGUUCGCAUAAUCGCCGGCCAUUUGUAAUCGCGAAAUUCAGUGAAUGUGCUCACGAUUGUGUCACAGAAUCACAUGAAUAAUUCAGGCAGAAUUUCGACUUUUGAGAAUAUCCAGCAGUUAUCGUUGUGUUUCUGCUGGCGCAAUAGAUGUAAACAUUCGCGCCGAGGUGUUUGCCGGAAUCACAACGCAUCCAUAGUUGACAUAAAUAGCAUCAGAUUUGAGCAGUUGCCAAUUUGGACUCACGGAUGCGAACGUGAAUAUUCCAUUUCCAUGGCCGAAUCAGCGACAUCGAGAGGACGCAUCUAUUCCCACAAGAUUUUCUGCCAAGUUUGAGUUCCUAUUUGGUUUUCGGUCUGCUGAAGUUAAUUAAAAUGGUUCCCACUUGGCCCUCAAAUAGAAUUUUCGUUAUGAUUUCCACCUAGCCCCCAGAAUAUUAAGAAAAAUCUUGUGAAAGAGUACAUACUUAUGCUGUGAAUCUCAUAUUCGAUGGGGUGUGAUAAUGAGUUAAAUGGCUUAUUGCAGAGAUAUAUUUCGAGGGACAGUUUUGUAAUUUAUACUAAAUUAUCCAUACCUUUUGUAUUAAGGUGUAUGUUUUGCAAAUUAAAGCUAAGAAUAACUUUAAG